rnacentral:rRNA from 1 species
GAUCCUGGCUCAGAUUGAACGCUGGCGGAAUGCUUUACACAUGCAAGUCGAACGGCAGCACGGACUUCGGUCUGGUGGCGAGUGGCGAACGGGUGAGUAAUGUAUCGGAACGUACCCGGUCGUGGGGGAUAACGUAGUGAAAAUUACGCUAAUACCGCAUAUUAUCCGAGGAUGAAAGCGGGGGACCUUAGGGCCUCGCGCUGAUAGAGCGGCCGAUGUCGGAUUAGCUAGUUGGUGAGGUAAAGGCUCACCAAGGCGACGAUCCGUAGCGGGUCUGAGAGGAUGAUCCGCCACACUGGGACUGAGACACGGCCCAGACUCCUACGGGAGGCAGCAGUGGGGAAUUUUGGACAAUGGGCGAAAGCCUGAUCCAGCCAUGCCGCGUGAGUGAAGAAGGCCUUCGGGUUGUAAAGCUCUUUUGUCCGGGAGGAAAUCCUGACCCCUAAUACGGGUCGGGGAUGACAGUACUGGAAGAAUAAGCACCGGCUAACUACGUG